UUAAAUUGAAGAGUUUGAUCAUGGCUCAGAUUGAACGCUGGCGGCAGGCCUAACACAUGCAAGUCGAACGGUAACAGAAAGCAGCUUGCUGCUUUGCUGACGAGUGGCGGACGGGUGAGUAAUGUCUGGGAAACUGCCUGAUGGAGGGGGAUAACUACUGGAAACGGUAGCUAAUACCGCAUAACGUCGCAAGACCAAAGAGGGGGACCUUCGGGCCUCUUGCCAUCGGAUGUGCCCAGAUGGGAUUAGCUUGUUGGUGGGGUAACGGCUCACCAAGGCGACGAUCCCUAGCUGGUCUGAGAGGAUGACCAGCCACACUGGAACUGAGACACGGUCCAGACUCCUACGGGAGGCAGCAGUGGGGAAUAUUGCACAAUGGGCGCAAGCCUGAUGCAGCCAUGCCGCGUGUAUGAAGAAGGCCUUCGGGUUGUAAAGUACUUUCAGCGGGGAGGAAGGGAGUAAAGUUAAUACCUUUGCUCAUUGACGUUACCCGCAGAAGAAGCACCGGCUAACUCCGUGCCAGCAGCCGCGGUAAUACGGAGGGUGCAAGCGUUAAUCGGAAUUACUGGGCGUAAAGCGCACGCAGGCGGUUUGUUAAGUCAGAUGUGAAAUCCCCGGGCUCAACCUGGGAACUGCAUCUGAUACUGGCAAGCUUGAGUCUCGUAGAGGGGGGUAGAAUUCCAGGUGUAGCGGUGAAAUGCGUAGAGAUCUGGAGGAAUACCGGUGGCGAAGGCGGCCCCCUGGACGAAGACUGACGCUCAGGUGCGAAAGCGUGGGGAGCAAACAGGAUUAGAUACCCUGGUAGUCCACGCCGUAAACGAUGUCGACUUGGAGGUUGUGCCCUUGAGGCGUGGCUUCCGGAGCUAACGCGUUAAGUCGACCGCCUGGGGAGUACGGCCGCAAGGUUAAAACUCAAAUGAAUUGACGGGGGCCCGCACAAGCGGUGGAGCAUGUGGUUUAAUUCGAUGCAACGCGAAGAACCUUACCUGGUCUUGACAUCCACGGAAGUUUUCAGAGAUGAGAAUGUGCCUUCGGGAACCGUGAGACAGGUGCUGCAUGGCUGUCGUCAGCUCGUGUUGUGAAAUGUUGGGUUAAGUCCCGCAACGAGCGCAACCCUUAUCCUUUGUUGCCAGCGGUCCGGCCGGGAACUCAAAGGAGACUGCCAGUGAUAAACUGGAGGAAGGUGGGGAUGACGUCAAGUCAUCAUGGCCCUUACGACCAGGGCUACACACGUGCUACAAUGGCGCAUACAAAGAGAAGCGACCUCGCGAGAGCAAGCGGACCUCAUAAAGUGCGUCGUAGUCCGGAUUGGAGUCUGCAACUCGACUCCAUGAAGUCGGAAUCGCUAGUAAUCGUGGAUCAGAAUGCCACGGUGAAUACGUUCCCGGGCCUUGUACACACCGCCCGUCACACCAUGGGAGUGGGUUGCAAAAGAAGUAGGUAGCUUAACCUUCGGGAGGGCGCUUACCACUUUGUGAUUCAUGACUGGGGUGAAGUCGUAACAAGGUAACCGUAGGGGAACCUGCGGUUGGAUCACCUCCUUACCUUAAAGAA
rnacentral:rRNA from 1 species